AUGCGAAUAUUCUCGCUGUCCUGAUGUUUCUGUGAUCAGGGCAGGCUAGACAUUCGCUAUAGUAAAACCAUGCAUUGUGUCCUCCAGGACUAGAUUGUUGUUUUAGUCCUGGCUCUGUAAAUGCUGGUGACAGGU
ensembl:snoRNA SNORA72 Small nucleolar RNA SNORA72